rnacentral:rRNA from 1 species
GUGAUCCAACGGCGGUCGGCGGCGACGUCUGUACUUCCGGUUUCGGAUCACCUCCUUCUGGGGAAACGUCGGCUCUUGACUGGGCUCGGCGGCCGAACCAGGACGUUUACUUUGAAAAAAUUAGAGUGUUUAAAGCAAGCGUACGCUUGAAUACAUUAGCAUGGAAUAAUGGAAUAGGGCUGCUGCCCCAUUUUGUUGGUUUCUGGGACCGUAGCA